rnacentral:rRNA from 1 species
AGUGAACGCUGGCGGUAGGCCUAACACAUGCAAGUCGAACGGCAACACAGUAAGAGCUUGCUCUUACGGGUGGCGAGUGGCGGACGGGUGAGGAAUACAUCGGACUCUACUUUUUCGUGGGGGAUAACGUAGGGAAACUUACUCUAAUACCGCAUACGACCUACGGGUGAAAGCAGGGGAUCUUCGGACCUUGCGCGAUUGAAUGAGCCGCUGUCGGAGUAGCUAGUUGGCCGGGUAAAGGCCCACCAAGGCGACGAUCCGUAGCUGGUCUGAGAGAAGGGUCACCGACAUUAGAACUGGGACAGGGACAAGACGCCUACGAGAGGGAGCAGUGGGGAAUAGUAGACAAUAGGCGGAAGCAUGAUCCAGCCAUACCGCGUCGGUGACGAAGGCCUUCGGGUUGUAAAGACCUUUUGUGGGGAAAGAAACGCAGCAGGUUAAUACCAAGCUGUUCUGGCGGUACCGAAUGAAUAAGCACCGGCUAACUUCGUG